rnacentral:rRNA from 1 species
GAUGAACGCUGGCGGCGUGCCUAAUACAUGCAAGUCGAGCGAACAGACGAGGAGCUUGCUCCUCUGACGUUAGCGGCGGACGGGUGAGUAACACGUGGAUAACCUACCUAUAAGACUGGGAUAACUUCGGGAAACCGGAGCUAAUACCGGAUAAUAUAUUGAACCGCAUGGUUCAAUAGUGAAAGACGGUUUUGCUGUCACUUAUAGAUGGAUCCGCGCCGCAUUAGCUAGUUGGUAAGGUAAUGGCUUACCAAGGCGACGAUGCGUAGCCGACCUGGGAGGGUGAUCGGCCACACUGGAACUGAGACACGGUCCAGACUCCUACGGGAGGCAGCAGUAGGGAAUCUUCCGCAAUGGGCGAAAGCCUGACGGAGCAACGCCGCGUGAGUGAUGAAGGUCUUCGGAUCGUAAAACUCUGUUAUUAGGGAAGAACAAAUGUGUAAGUAACUAUGCACGUCUUGACGGUACCUAAUCAGAAAGCCACGGCUAACUACGUG